UAGAGUUUGAUCCUGGCUCAGGACGAACGCUGGCGGCGUGGCCUAAUACAUGCAAGUAGAACGCUGAAGAGAGGAGCUUGCUCUUCUUGGAUGAGUUGCGAACGGGUGAGUAACGCGUAGGUAACCUGCCUUGUAGCGGGGGAUAACUAUUGGAAACGAUAGCUAAUACCGCAUAACAAUGGAUGACACAUGUCAUUUAUUUGAAAGGGGCAAUUGCUCCACUACAAGAUGGACCUGCGUUGUAUUAGCUAGUAGGUGAGGUAAUGGCUCACCUAGGCGACGAUACAUAGCCGACCUGAGAGGGUGAUCGGCCACACUGGGACUGAGACACGGCCCAGACUCCUACGGGAGGCAGCAGUAGGGAAUCUUCGGCAAUGGGGGCAACCCUGACCGAGCAACGCCGCGUGAGUGAAGAAGGUUUUCGGAUCGUAAAGCUCUGUUGUAAGUCAAGAACGGGUGUGAGAGUGGAAAGUUCACACUGUGACGGUAGCUUACCAGAAAGGGACGGCUAACUACGUGCCAGCAGCCGCGGUAAUACGUAGGUCCCGAGCGUUGUCCGGAUUUAUUGGGCGUAAAGCGAGCGCAGGCGGUUUGAUAAGUCUGAAGUUAAAGGCUGUGGCUCAACCAUAGUUCGCUUUGGAAACUGUCAAACUUGAGUGCAGAAGGGGAGAGUGGAAUUCCAUGUGUANGCGGUGAAAUGCGUAGAUAUAUGGAGGAACCACCCGGUGGCGAAAGCGGCUCUCUGGUCUGUAANCUGACGCUGAGGCUCGAAAGCGUGGGGAGCGAACAGGAUUAGAUACCCUGGUAGUCCACGCCGUAAACGAUGAGUGCUAGGUGUUGGAUCCUUUCCGGGAUUCAGUGCCGAAGCUAACGCAUUAAGCACUCCGCCUGGGGAGUACGACCGCAAGGUUGAAACUCAANGGAAUUGACGGGGGCCCGCACAAGCGGUGGAGCAUGUGGUUUAAUUCNAAGCACCCCGAANAACCUUACCAGGUCUUGACAUCCCCGAUGCUAUUUCUAG
rnacentral:rRNA from 1 species